UGUGCACCCACAAUGGUCAGUACCAUCCUCCAGGGAAACCCUUCUGGGAUGGUUCUGGUUGUACAGAGCUUUGCGAGUGCAACCCUUCCACAGGUUUAGUCACCUGUCAGAAAUCUCAAUGCGAACCCGAAGAAGAAUGUAAAGUUGUAAAGGGUGUGAGUGAAUGUGUGGCAAAAACCAUUCCUGCACCUGUUAAACCACUGAAUGUACUGCCUUGUACACACAAGGGUCAGUCCCAUCCUCCAGGGAAACCCUUCUGGGAUGGUUCUGGUUGUACAGAGCUUUGCGAGUGCAACCCUUCCACAGGUUUAGUCACCUGUCAGAAAUCUCAAUGCAAACCUGAAGAAGAAUGUAAAGUUGUAAAGGGUGUGAGUGAAUGUGUGGCAAAAACCAUUCCUGCACCUGUUAAACCACUGAAAGUACUGCCUUGUACACACAAGGGUCAGUCCCAUCCUCCUGGGAAACCCUUCUGGGAUGGUUCUGGCUGUACAGAGCUUUGCAAGUGCAACCCUUCCACAGGUUUAGUCACCUGCCAGAAAUCUCAGUGCAAACCUGAAGAAGAAUGUAAAGUUGUAAAGGGUGAGAGUGAAUGUGUGGCAAGAACCAUUCCUCCUCCUGUCAAGCCAC